UGGUGACAGCACAAACACCAAGGGAGGAGAGAGAGCAGGGUGAAGACAGCAAAGAAGCAGAGAUAAUACAAAGAAAAAAAAACAGAACAAAGAAGAAGCGAGGAGGAUGGAGAGAGGACAGAGAGAUUAGAGCUGUCCUGGAUAGCCUGGAGAAUUCUUUAGGUACCUUCCCAGCUGUGACAAAUGGCCAGCUGGGAUAACAACUUUUACUCAGGGCAUUCUUGAUAUGAUGUUCUUCUGCUCCCUGGUCGCUGUGUUUUAAGAUGAUAAAAGGCUGUUGUUUCAUCUGCCAUCAUGAUGAUAUCUCUCAUCCUCCACGAAAUCUGAGGACCAAAGCUACCAUUGUUAUGAUCAAUGGUAAUGCCAAUUUGUAUAUUAAUGAUCACGGAACUGACCUCAUUGUCCAUUGUUGAUCAUUGAUCAUUGUUAGUUUUAGUCAUGAUGCAGCUGUACUGUGAUGUCAAGAUGAAUAAAUCAAUUUCAAAAUAUGUAAA